rnacentral:rRNA from 1 species
GAUGAACGCUGGCGGCGUGCUUAACACAUGCAAGUCGAACGAAGAUGCCGGAGUGCUUGCACUUUGGCAGACUGAGUGGCGGACGGGUGAGUAACGCGUGGGUAACCUGCCUUAUACAGGGGGAUAACAGUUGGAAACGACUGCUAAUACCGCAUGACACAUCGGAGUCGCAUGGCUCUGAUGUCAAAGAUUUAUCGCUGAAAGAUGGCCUCGCGUCUGAUUAGCUAGUUGGUGAGGUAACGGCCCACCAAGGCGACGAUCAGUAGCCGGACUGAGAGGUUGAACGGCCACAUUGGGACUGAGAUACGGCCCAGACUCCUACGGGAGGCAGCAGUGGGGAAUAUUGGGCAAUGGGCGCAAGCCUGACCCAGCAACGCCGCGUGAAGGAAGAAGGUCUUCGGAUUGUAAACUCCUGUUGUUGAGGAAGAUAAUGACGGUACUCAACAAGGAAGUGACGGCUAACUACGUGCCAGCAG